rnacentral:rRNA from 1 species
CCUACGGGAGGCAGCAGUGAGGAAUAUUGGUCAAUGGACGAGAGACUGAACCAGCCAAGUAGCGUGAAGGAGGACUGCACUGUGGGUUGUAAACUUCUUUUAUCAAGGAAUAAAACGAGGCACGUGUGCCUGUUUGCAUGUACUUGAUGAAUAAGCAUCGGCUAACUCCGUGCCAGCAGCCGCGGUAAUACGGAGGAUCCGAGCGUUAUCCGGAUUUAUUGGGUUUAAAGGGAGCGUAGAUGGGUUGUUAAGUCAGUGGUGAAAGUCUGCGGCUCAACCGUCAAACUGCAAUUGAUACUGGCAGUCUCGAGUACAGUUGAGGUAGGCGGAAUGCGUGGUGUAGCGGUGAAAUGCUUAGAUAUCACGAAGAACCCCGAUUGCGAAGGCAGCUUACUAACCUCUGACUGACAUUGAUGCACGAAAGUGUGGGUAUCAAACAGGAUUAGAUACCCUUGUAGUC